UGUAUGAUACAGCUGCAAAUAAGUAUUUGAACACCUGUCUAUCAGCUAGAAUUCUGACCCUCAAAGACCUGUUAGUCUGCCUUUAAAAUGUCCACCUCCACUCCAUUUAUUAUCCUAAAUUAGAUGCACCUGUUUGAGGUCGUUAGCUGCAUAAAGACACCUGUCCACCCCAUACAAUCAGUAAGAAUCCAACUACUAACAUGGCUAAGACCAAAGAGCUGUCCAAAGACACUAGAGACAAAAUUGUACACCUCCACAAGGCUGGAAAGGGCUACGGGGAAAUUGCCAAGCAGCUUGGUGUAAAAAGGUCCACUGUUGGAGCAAUCAUUAGAAAAUGGAAGAAGCUAAACAUGACUGUCAAUCUACCUCGGACUGGGGCUCCAUGCAAGAUCUCACCUCAUGGGGUCUCAAUGAUCCUAAGAAAGGUGAGAAAUCAGCCCAGAACUACACGGGAGGAGCUGGUCAAUGACCUGAAAAGAGCUGGGACCACCGUUUCCAAGGUUACUGUUGGUAAUACACUAAGACGUCAUGGUUUGAAAUCAUGCAUGGCACGGAAGGUUCCCCUGCUUAAACCAGCACAUGUCCAGGCCCGACUUAAGUUUGCCAAUGACCAUUUGGAUGAUCCAGAGGAGUCAUGGGAGAAAGUCAUGUGGUCAGAUGAGACCAAAAUAGAACUUUUUGGUCAUAAUUCCACUAAACGUGUUUGGAGGAAGAAGAAAGAUGAGUACCAUCCCAAGAACACCAUCCCUACUGUGAAGCAUGGGGGUGGUAGCAUCAUGCUUUGGGGGUGUUUUUCUGCACAUGGGACAGGGCGACUGCACUGUAUUAAGGAGAGGAUGACCGGGGCCAUGUAUUGCGAGAUUUUGGGGAACAACCUCCUUCCCUCAGUUAGAGCAUUGAAGAUGGAAGACCCAGCCUCGACCCAACAUGACAAUGACCCGAAGCACACAGCCAGGAUAACCAAGGAGUGGCUCUGUAAGAAGCAUAUCAAGGUUCUGGCGUGGCCUAGCUGUAGAUGUAAUGUAAUGAAUUAUUAUAUAUGUGUCAUCAAAUUAAGGACAAAACAAAAACCAAAUAGUUUGCUCCGCAAAUGGUGAUCAUUGUUAAUGACAUGUUUGUGAAUGACUGAGAAUGAGAUUUAUUGAAAGAGGGCACGGGACAAAUUAACAUUUAAACCAGCAGCGCGCGUCACUGUCUGAGUACUGCGAGAGAGUGCGCGUGCCCGUCAUUAACGGUCAACUUCCAGCUGACGGACACGGAGGAAAAGAAGUGCUACAAAUCUAGUGUAUUUGUCGUUUUUACGGAUAUAUAUAUAACGUUAGAUGUCACCAAAUGAGUAGUGAGUAGUGUUUUGCAUUUUUUUGUAGGUUUUCCAAUUUAAUUUAAUAAAUAAAUGCCCUGUUCGGUUAAUUAGCUCACAAGCAGUCUCAUGAGGCGGUCUGAGGUAACGGUUAACGUUAACCAUUAAAACAUUGAGGUAAAAUUUUAUACCUUUCUUUUAGUUAUUUGAAAUGUAACACGAUAAACUAUACAUUAGUCACUUUCAAAUUCUUUAAACUUUAACCGUAGUAAAGUUAAUUAGUUUGUUUGACUGCCUGCCUGCUGUUCGCGCUAGUCGAAGAUGCUCAUGCUAGCCAUACUGCAAACUUGAAUAUAAACCACUGUAUAAAGUUUAAUUAGACCGAGGCUGCCGAAAUCCUGUUCAGUGUCUGUGGGAUUAAUAAUUUCCGCCUUUCCCCCUCAAGUGACAGGCCUGUAAAUUGUGUCAUCUGCUCGUUAAUGGUGUUUUUUACAUGCAUGCUUUUUAUGCUAGUUUAAUUCUCAAAUAGAUCUGAUACUUUAGUUUCAACAAAUCUUUAAUAAACAAAUGGUUCACUUUUUAUUUUAGGUCCUGACUGCCACCAGUUGAGUCAAUGAUUCAGUGGAGAGACAGUCUGGGCAGCAGCAACAAGACAACUAUUACAAGCAGAGAUGAGUUUCAAGAACUGACACAACCACUUAUCAUCCAAACCAUCUCCAAGUGGAUGGCAGCAAGGAUUCAGGAUCAAGAGAUCAUUCAUUAUGAAGACCGUUCCAUAGGAAGCAGCGAAUCCUGGAUCAUCCUGACCAUUCUGUUGUCCUGGAUUUGAAGACAUGCUGGAACUGUAUUUCUCAUGGUUGAAAGAUUUGUGCAGCGGUAUCCAGACAUAUAAGCAGCCUUCCUGGACCCACACGACCAAAGGCUCUGGAGGAGAGACAGCUGGAACAACACAAAAACUACUGAUUGUCCCACAUUCCAUGUCUGAGAGGGAAUUUGUAGAAAAGAUAAGGGAGGAAUUCCCAGAAUUGCAGCAGCAUCAAUUUACACUCUGCCGAUUAAAUCCCUUUAAACCUCCCCACAGUUUGCCCUGCUUCCAUAAAGUCCUGCCAAGAACUCAGAAACUCACGGUCUGCUGUAUACAUAUAAGACCAAGGGUUUUGGAGCCAGCUGGGAUGAAACUGAACUGCAAGAUGACAAUGUAAAUUUCUCAACUGUUUUAAGAAACUGAAUGCAAUCCAUUAUGUACAUGCACAGUUUUUCUGCAAGCAAUAGAGAGUUUUUCUGAGAAUUGCUUUUUGGACUUUUUCAGGUUUUGGAGCCUAUGUAUGUAAUUAUGUAAGUUUCUCAGUCAUUACAUUUUAAGAUACAGAAAGCUAUCAAACAUGAUCAGAUGUUGAGAUGAGUAGAUAGAUAAAUGGAUCAAUUGAUAGAUGGAUGAAUAGAUCGAUAGAUGAUUGUUUUUUUUUCCUUAUGGGGAAAUUUGGUUUGUAGUCACAAGGUGUCAGGAAUCAGUCACCAUCACAACAGUCACCACCCAGCACAAUCACCCGAUCACAGUCACCUGACUUCUAAUUGCACGCACCUGCUGUCACCAAUCAACACCACUAUAUACACUCACACUGCCAUUCCCCACAUUGUCCGGUCUACCGUUCACUAUAUGGACAGCUCUGGACUCUCUACGAUACCUCGCCGAUUCUCCCUCGAAGCCUUUGAUCCUCAAUCCGAACCUGCACCAUCCGUGCAUAGGCCAACGCAUCGGUCCCAAGCCAAACCAUUUUGAGAAAUCAAACAAAUGAGAGCCGUUUUCUAAAGUCUAUGAGCGCAGCACACACAAAUAAACUAAAUUGACAUACUGCAGUUAAAUUACAAAAUGUUGUGUUUUAUAUUUAUAACAUUUGAAUACAGUUCAGCAACAUACAUCACACGACCUGACGACCAAGAGAGCUGACAACUGACCAUCACUUAAUUUACCAUCACCUCACGAUU